GGCCGGUGAGCUCGCGGAGCCGGGCCCGGCCUGCCCGUCUACCCACGCGGUUGAGCUGCUGGAGCUGCUGCGGGGCGACCAGGGAGAUCACAGGUGGCUGAAAGGCGCAGGAGAGGGGAGGGUCUCCCCCAGACAGGAAGGCUGGGAAGGCUUCCUGCAGGAGGUGGCACCUGGGCUGAAGCCUGAUUGUAAAAAGAGCCCCUGUUCUCCUAUGAACUCUGGAUCUUCCAGCCACACCAAGAGCAUCCCCGGGGACAGGAACCAGAGCCCUUGUUUGCAGAGGAGACCCCUGAAGCUCAGGGAGGGUGCCACUCACUACCUUCUGCCGCAGGAGCUGGUACACAGGGCAAUGUGCAAUGGCCGAGGAAGGCCUGUGUCCAGCUGUUUCCCGGCAAUUCUAGCCUCUGGAGGCUUCGGGAGGUCCACAGGCCCUAGAGCCACCGGCUGGGAAACACAAGGGCCUGCCUCCCACCCUCUGCUCCAGGCUGGUGACUCCUGGGGCCUGAGGAUGAAGCAGAGCCUGCCACACUGGCCUCUGUCCUGCCUUUUCGUGCUGCUGCGCUGGCCUCUGGCCACUCCAACAUCAGCGAACCCUUGGCGGUGCCCACCUGGGGAGGAGCCCAGCCUGGACCUGGGGCAGGGCACAUUAUGCAGGUCGUGUCCCCCCGGCACUUUCUCUGCUUCGUGGGGCCCUGGCCCGUGCCAGCCCCACUCUCGCUGCAGCCCUCGAGGGAGGCUGGAGGCCCAGGCAGGCACAGCGACUCAAGACACCCUAUGUGGAGACUGCCAGCCUGGGUGGUUUGCCACUUCGGGGGUCCCCCGUGCCUCCUGUCAGCCGUGCUCCUGGACACCUCUGGGUACUCGCAGCUGUUAUGAGCGGGGACGGCGGGCCCGACGUGGUGUGGAGGUGGCAGCAGGGGCCAGGAGCACUGGGGAUACGCGGCAGCCUGGGAACGGCACGCGGGCAGGUGGCCCUGAGGAGACAGCUGCCCAGUAUGCGGUUAUUGCCAUCGUGCCUGUCUUCUGCCUCAUGGGGCUGCUGGGCAUCCUGGUGUGCAACCUGCUCAAGCGGAAAGGCUACCACUGCACGGCCCACAAGGAGCUUGGGCCCGGCCCUGGAGGUGGAGGCAGCGGGAUCAACCCCGCCUACCGGGCUGAGGAUGCCAAUGAGGACACCAUUGGGGUCCUAGUACGCCUGAUCACGGAGAAGAAAGAGAACGCUGCGGCCCUGGAGGAGCUGCUGAAGGAGUAUCACAGCAAACAGCUGGUGCAGACCAGCCACAGGCCCAUACCCAGGCUGCCGCCAGGUCCCCCCAGCAUCCCACACGUCUGUCCGCAUCGCCACCACCUCCACACCGUGCAGGGCCUGGCUUCACUGUCUGGCCCCUGCUGCUCCCGCUGUAGCCAGAAGAAGUGGCCCGAGGUGCUGCUGUCCCCUGAGGCUGCAGCUGCCACUACUCCCACUCCCAGACUCCUGCCCAACCCUGUCAGGGCUCCCAAGGCCGGGGCCAAGGCAGGACGCCAGGGCGAGAUCACCAUCCUGUCUGUGGGCAGGUUCCGAGUGGCCCGAAUUCCUGAGCAACGGUCAAGUUUGGCAGCCUCUGAGGUGAAGACUAUCACGGAGGCUGGGCCUUCAGGGGGUGAUCUCCCUGGCUCCCCACAACCUGGCCUCCCCACUGAGCAGCAGGCACUGCUGGGAAAUGGCGGAAGCCAUACCAAAUGGCUGAAGCCCCCAGCAGAGAACAAGGCUGAGGAGAAUCGCUAUGUGGUCCGGCUAAAUGAGAGCAACCUGGUCAUCUGAUGGUCUUUCUCAUCUGAGAACACAGCAGCCCUGCCCUGGGAGGUUCUGAAGGCUUCCUGGAGGAGGUAGAGCUGCAGCUGGGAGUGUGAGGAUCAAGAAGCAAUGGCCCAGCAGACAGAACAGCAAAGGCCAAGGCCUGAAGGUCGUCUGCCCAGUCACCAAAUAGGUCUGUGUCAGGCACGGUGUGUGGGACAGGCCAUCCCUUCCCUCAGUGUUGGCUCUGUGACAGCACAUCUGAAUAAGAACUAGCAUAGUCAAGGGCUCGACAGCACAUGAGGCUAGUGGCUCCUGUCUUGGACGGCACAGCUUUAGAGGAUGGAUGGGGUAAGACAGACCUGUUGGGAACUGGCGAAUGUGGGAAGGGGAAACGGGGUCUGCAGAGAGGGAACAGCAUGUGCAAAGGCCCAGGGGAACUACGAGGAACUGGAGAGCUGGAAGUUGAAGAUGACCGGUGUGGACUGGACUGGGGGUGGGCGGCAGAAGGCAGCUCCACGUGCUCUUGGAAGCCAUCAGUCUUACGCCAGAGAUGCCAAGGAACCUCUAAAGCAUUUAGGAAGGGGGGCCGGUUAGCUCACUCUUGGUCAGUGUGGAGGGUGGAGCAGGAGUUGUGCAUGGAAACCUCUGCAGCUGUCCAGGCAAGAGGUGGUGGAGGCCAGGGUGUGGGGGGCAAGAUCCAAGAGAUCCCUAAGAUGGAAGUGCUAGGAUUUGGUAACAGGAUGUGGGUCACCAGGUUAGGGCCAGCUGGGUGGGGAAACAGGAGUAGCUAGGAGACAGCUGUGAUACAGCCCCCUAAACACCUGGAAUGUGAAGGCCCAAAGUGCUCAAGAGACCGAGCUGGGCUGUGAGAAUAUCUAGAGGCACUCACGUAGGCAUCUGCACCAGGACUGGACCAGGACAGUGGGCUCAGCGCAGACUCUUGGGCUCCUCCAGAGGCACUGCCAAGGAGGUGGGAAGGAGACCAGGAGACUGCAGUGUCCUGCAAGUGAGGGGAGGGGAGCAAGGGGGCAGGGUGGGUCACAAGACCAGGUGCUGCCACAGGGUCAGGAUGGCAGCAGCCCCUGGUUAGUGCUCAUGGGGAGUGGGGGUGGUGAGAGCAGGACCAGGUCGGAGGGGAUCGAGCUCCCUGCAGAAGCCAGAUUGUGACAGGCGAUAGCUGGUGGGGACUUAGGCUCCAGGGAGGUAAGGUUUUUAGUUAAAUCUGGGUUCUCAGGGUAUCUGGUGUGUUUUUUAAAGAUGGAAGAAGGGGACACAUUUAAAUGCUAAUGGAAAGUUCCAAAGAGAAGAACCAGACACUGAUGUGUGGCGGAGCCUGGGAAGGUGUGGAAAGGACAGCCUGUGGGAGGCCCAGACCUGCUGGGUGAAGGUGGCUGGUCAGGAUGGGACUCCAGGAGGCCGAGCUCACGUUCGCCCUUGCUGCUGUUUCUGAGGCCACAGGUGCCACUACUCCCAUUCCCAGGCUCCUGCCCAACCCAGCUGGGCUCCCUAAGGCUGGGGCCGCAGCAGGAUGCAAAAGUGAGAUCACGGUCUUGUCUGUGGGUGGAGGCCCUUGUCCUGUGCAGAAGCCAUGGGCCUGGCCCAGUAGCACAAAAAACUCCUACCCGGGGAAGCUGGACAGACGUGCCUUGAGAUUUGAUCUCUCCCUGCCUCUGUGUUACCUUUCCAGGGCACAGGCUUCUCUUUCUGAGUUGUGCAGGAAAGGGAGGGUACCUCCUUGGGCCCAGGAGACAAAGCUUUACCUGCUCUAGGAGAGAGGAGGAAAAGAGACAGGCUGUACAUCAAGAGGAAUUUUCUGGAGAACCAAAGGUUGCCAAAGUCUAAAACAGGCUGUCCAUUGCAGGGCCUAGUCGGCAUCAUCCAUGCUCCCAAGGAAAUGUCCCCUUGGGUUACCAGGGUCUACCUGGUGUCCCUAUUUGGCAACUCUUGGCUACAUGUCAAGGUUUGGCUUCUCAAACUUGGCUGUCCUCUUAGCCAACGAACCCCACUUCACCCAGAACUUGGAUGACCCACCAAGAUGAUGAGAAAGCAAGAGAUGGGGUGGGAGGUGGGUCCCUCCCACUCCCCAGCCUCCUUUUCCAGGGGAUGGCUGGACCGGAGACUCUAAAUGCCCUCUUGAUGUGGAGACUGAGGGUGGCUUUGACUUCUCAGGCCAGGUAAGAGACCCUCCACCUUGGUGCUGGGCCCUGGGGUAAUAAGCACAGCUCUCCUCCAGCACUGCCACCCCACCCCCACCCCACCAUUUUCUGCUUGCUGGAAGUCAAAGUAUGACCUAAAUUUCUUCACCUGUCCCUAAAAGGAUGGGAGGAGCUGCGGAGGGAUCAGGUACCGGUAUAUCCAGUGCUCUUGGCCUUCAGGGCUCCCAUCUGAAAGUAUUCCUGGCUUGUCCCCUCUGAAUCUUGGCGGCGCUGGGCUGAGGGGAGUUCUGAGUCUGACCUCUCCUUAUUCCACUCCUCGCCCAAAGGACCAGAAUAGGCAGUAUGGGGCCCAGAUCUCCACCUCCCUGUCUGCUCCUGGUCCUCAGCCCUGCCACUGUGACCUGGAGCUGAGUCCCUGGAAAAUCCCUUUCCUGCCCUGGAGAAACUGCUGUGACACAGCCUAACAAAGUCUGUGGCCAGCGGUGCCUUCGGCUCCCACAUGUGACAGAGUUUUCCACUGUAAGGAGGGCGAAUGAGUGUCCUGUGAUGUGAGGACAGCAGGGGAAUUGGGGAGCAAGCUGCAGGCGCAUGGGUUGGUGAGUUAGGAGACUGUCUUGAACUCUAAUUAUAGCUCUAGUGUGAGCCAGGUCAGUGAGCCUCUUGGGGGCCUCAGUUUUUUCCCUAGUAGAGGUUGAAUACUUGACAGGCUAGGAGAGUGGGGAUUUGGGAGGCCAGGCCCUGGGAGGCAGUGGUGGCCCAAUGACCAGGAAAAGAAGCCUGGGCCUGGACUGGGGCAGUGGCUUUGCCCAGAGGGAAGGGGAGGCAGAGAUUUAGGAUGGGAAACUGACCGCAGUUGACCAUUUGGGUGGAGACCACAUGACCUCCCUCAACUGUCCUACUGUGACUACAAACCUGCAAGCUCGCUCUUCCCUUCGUUUCCCACCUGACGAACUUUAAGCAAACACAGACAUUGCCUCCUCUGACCGGGAGGCAGGGGGUGGGAGGUGGGGGAGGAGAAUGUGGGACUUGGCCAAGUAUGUGCUCCACCUCUGAACCUCACCGGCUCUGUGACCUUGGCCAAGGUACUUACCCUCCUUGGCUGCCUUGUCUUGAGGGCAGGGUUAAUAAAUAGGGCUCACCUCCCAUCCUGCUGUGAGGAUUUUGAGAAUUACCAAACAAAGCCCAGCACUGGCCACACGGUGAGCCUCGGUAGAUGGCAGCCUUCAUCAUUCAUGGCCUCCUGGCCAUUUGCCAUGCAGCUUAAUCAGUCCAGAUGCUGAUGGCCACUGCCCAGACCCCUCAACUGAAUCGCAGGGGAGCCCUGUUAGGCCUGUGGGGAGAGGCAGCAUAGGCCUUACCUGACUGGUAAAAACAAGGUUAGAAUCCGCUUGAGGAGAAACCCAGAACGCCCGCUGGCCUAAGAGGUGGUCUGUGUCUCCCUGCCCCAAGAACCACCAGUCUGGUCACCCCAGACUUUUUUUUUUUUUGGAAACUUUUUUUUUAAUAGUUAUUGAAUGUUCUACAGCUUACAGUAAAUAUCAUAGUUACAAAUUCUUGGCUUCAAUCUUUCAGAGUGAUCACUAUCUGAUCUUCAAAACAAAAUGAAACAAAAACCUGAAAGAAUCCAAAACAACAAAACAAAACCAGAUUUAACACUUCAUACACACAAGGCGAGGCCAUGGGGCUUUCCAAUCUUUACACUCCAGGCUGUGUUUUGAAAACACUGAUAAGUUCUUUGAUCAAACUACUUGGAAGACACCAGUCAAAGGUUUAUUAUUAUUUUAAAUGUUUUUCUUUUUAAAAUGUGAGUUCCAAUAAAAUUUAAAAAUUAGAUUCCAACCUGUAGAUUAAAAUGAAUUAAAAAAUACAAAAUCAUAUACAAUGCUCUCACAGGGAUGUUACAUGCCACGAGAACAGGUUUCUCUGCCACAUGAUAUGACACAGGGAUGCAGUGCCUUUAAUCAGGAGAUAGAGACAGACCCUUGGGUCUUUAAAGGUCAUUACAGACAACUCCAAGUUGCUAGAGGCCUGGCCUUACCCCCCCUUGGAUCAUGAGGAGCUUGAGUCCCACCACAGAUCCACACGAUCUGGCUGACUCGAGAAGGUGGUCUGAGGGCAAUCCUACUCUUUUCCUGACUCGGGCAUGGGGAGGAAGGCUAGAGCCUUGAGAUGCUGGUCUUGCUGGGGUCAGGCCCAAAGAGGAUUUCACCCAUUUGACUCCUAGGGGCUGGUACUUAUCUGCAAAGCUGUUCUAUCGGUUCUCUUCAGGAAGGAGAGUACCCACCCUGCCAGGAGCUGGAAUGGGUACAGGGCCUCACCGCCACAGCACGAAUGCCCAGGGACUAUGGAUACGGCCGCAGGGAAGCAAGAGCUCUAGUUACCCUUUCUGGUCUUGUGGCAGUCAGUCCCAACUCCUGUGUUCCUCACUUGGCCACUGGGCUGGACUCAACAGCAUGCAAGAUAGAAAAUAACCAUUAGAGAAACUGAGGGAAUGGGGCCCAAGUCUGGCUCAGGCAAAGGAGGCUAUGGAAUGUUGAAGCUGGCCUGCCGGGCAGGAAUUCUGAAGGCUGGGCCCUGGAACCACGUAACACAUAACUUCAGAAACAAGUUUUCUAGGAGAAGGGAACACAGGCAAAGGACAAACCCUGCAGCCAACCUGGCAUGCUCAUGGAAACCUGGUCUCUGAGGCUCAGGUAUGGAAUUCGAUGUUAGCCUGCUUGGGUUUCCCCUGCUGUUGGGCUGGGCCUGGAUUCCCCUGGGGCUGUGUCCCUCCAUGGAACCUGCCUCCUACCUGCCCACUCUCUGGACUCUGAAGCCUGGCAAGCAGCCAGGGACCACACACUCUGUAGUAAUGUGGGAAAAUACAGGAUGGAAAAGCAGAGCUUCCAUUUAUCUUCACUCAAAUUCAACUGAGAAAUGCCAUGGUGAUACCUAAACGAUUCAUCCAGCCAGAGUGCUAUAACCAAGACCACGCAAAGACCAAGACCCAGGUCUUCCAGGCCUGCCUUCUCUGGCCGUGGGGCAGAGCCAAGGAAUCUGCUAUGCAGGGCUCCAGGCUUCCUCAGCCAGGGCCUCACUGAGGCUCUUGGCUGAGUCUUGUCUACUCAAGGAAGAUACCAGAACUUGGUGACCAAGGGGCCUGCCUUACUUUUAUGCUCCAUGUGAUUCAUUUCUGAAUGCCACUCAGAACAAAGUCCCUCCAAAGGAGCACUCCUAGCUCUGGGAUUUGGUAAACCUCGACUUGUAAGUAUACAGUGUCUCUCUUGGUCCUGGUUCUCACCCAUGGGAAAGCAAGCCCAGGGAUUGACAUCAGAUAUGCUUUUGGCCAUCCAAGGCUACACCAGGUCCCUUGGCAGCACUAACUCACUGGGUUUGAACACUGGGCAGGCCCUCCAGUGUCAGAAAGCAAGGGGUGCACAGGCUUCCCUGGGACACGGGUCUUUCAAUGGACAGAAACCUGGGGGCUGCCCUUGAACGUAUCUUCAGCUCUAGGCAUCAUGACCCCAAAGUGUUUUGUUCAGGUUAGGCCUUCUGUUGCCAAUACUCAUCCUCCUGGUGCUGCCUGGGCUCUCUGGGCCCCUCACAAAAAAAUCUCAACUGGGAAGACUGAGCUCCCCAGGUCUUUGGGCAUCUUCCUCUGGAACAGACAGGUAGCAGCCCACCUCGUCUUCAUGCCUGCCACCGAGAGCCAGCAGGUGCCAGCUGGAAGAACAAAGGAUCUGAAGAGCUCAAAUCUCGGCUCCUUCUCUUAACUGUAUGACUUUUGGCAAAUCUCCUCAGCCUUUUUCUUAAGUAAGCUCUAGGCCCAGCAUGGGGCUUGAACUCACAACCCAAGAUCAAGAGUCACAUGCUCUACCAACUGGGCCAACCAUGUGCCCCAAGUCUCCUAAGCCUUUUGAGACUUAGUUUUUUCCAUCUAUAAAAUGAGAAUUUGGCAAUCAAUGAAUGUCGAAGCACUUUAUACAUUAAAAACAAACAAACCUGU